UGGGGAAUAUUGCACAAUGGGCGAAAGCCUGAUGCAGCAACGCCGCGUGAGUGAUGAAGGUCUUCGGAUUGUAAAGCUCUGUCUUCUGGGACGAUAAUGACGGUACCAGAGGAGGAAGCCACGGCUAACUACGUGCCAGCAGCCGCGGUAAUACGUAGGUGGCGAGCGUUGUCCGGAAUUACUGGGCGUAAAGGAUGCGUAGGCGGAUAUUUAAGUCAGAUGUGAAACCCCCAGGCUUAACUUGGGGACUGCAUUUGAAACUGGAUAUCUAGAGUGCAGGAGAGGUAAGUGGAAUUCCUAGUGUAGCGGUGAAAUGCGUAGAGAUUAGGAAGAACACCAGUGGCGAAGGCGGCUUACUGGACUGUAACUGACGCUGAGGCAUGAAAGCGUGGGUAGCAAACAGG
rnacentral:rRNA from 3 species